rnacentral:rRNA from 1 species
GAUGAACGCUAGCUACAGGCUUAACACAUGCAAGUCGAGGGGAAACGAUAGAGAAAGCUUGCUUUUUCUAGGCGUCGACCGGCGCACGGGUGAGUAACGCGUAUCCAACCUGCCCAUCACUGGGGGAUCACCUUGCGAAAGUAAGACUAAUACCCGAUGAUAUCUCUAGAAGACAUCUGAAGGAGAUUAAAGAUUUAUCGGUGAUGGAUGGGGAUGCGUCUGAUUAGCUUGUUGGCGGGGUAACGGCCCACCAAGGCGACGAUCAGUAGGGGUUCUGAGAGGAAGGUCCCCCACAUUGGAACUGAGACACGGUCCAAACUCCUACGGGAGGCAGCAGUGAGGAAUAUUGGUCAAUGGGCGAGAGCCUGAACCAGCCAAGUAGCGUGCAGGAUGACGGCCCUAUGGGUUGUAAACUGCUUUAUAAGGGAAUAAAGUGAGCCUCGUGAGGCUUUUUGCAUGUACCUUAUGAAUAAGGACCGGCUAAUUUCGUGCCAGCAGCCGCGGUAA